GCCAUUGUAGCUUAGCUGGUAGAGCACUUGAUUCGUAAUCAAGAGGCCGUGAGUUCGAAUCUCACCAAUGGCUCCA
rnacentral:tRNA from 1 species